CAAGUCGAACGGCAGCGGGGGCUUUGGCCUGCCGGCGAGUGGCGAACGGGUGAGUAAUACAUCGGAACGUGUCCUUAAGUGGGGAAUAACGCAUCGAAAGAUGUGCUAAUACCGCAUAUCUCUGAGGAGAAAAGCAGGGGAUCGCAAGACCUUGCGCUAAAGGAGCGGCCGAUGUCUGAUUAGCUAGUUGGUGGGGUAAAGGCUUACCAAGGCAACGAUCAGUAGUUGGUCUGAGAGGACGGCCAACCACACUGGGACUGAGACACGGCCCAGACUCCUACGGGAGGCAGCAGUGGGGAAUUUUGGACAAUGGGCGCAAGCCUGAUCCAGCCAUGCCGCGUGCAGGAUGAAGGCCUUCGGGUUGUAAACUGCUUUUGUACGGAACGAAAAGGUGCCUUCUAAUAAAGGGCGCUCAUGACGGUACCGUAAGAAUAAGCACCGGCUAACUACGUGCCAGCAGCCGCGGUAAUACGUAGGGUGCAAGCGUUAAUCGGAAUUACUGGGCGUAAAGCGA
rnacentral:rRNA from 1 species